CCCUUAGAUGUUCUGGGCCGCACGCGCGCUACACUGAUGCAUUCAACGAGUCUAAAACCUGCUCUGAUAGGGGUGGGUAAUCUUUUGAAUGUGCAUCGUGAUUGGGAUAGAUGAUUGCAAUUUUUCAUCUUCAACGAGGAAUGCCUAGUAAACGCAAGUCAUCAGCUUGCAUUGAUUACGUCCCUGCCCUUUGUACACACCGCCCGUCGCUCCUACCAAUUGAAUGAUCCGAUGAAUAUCAUGGAUUGAGGAUUAUAGCAGGUUCGCCUGUCUUGAUCUUCGAGAAGUGAAGUAAAUCUUAUCAUUUAGAGGAAGGAGAAGUCGUAACA
rnacentral:rRNA from 1 species